rnacentral:rRNA from 1 species
ACGAACGCUGGCGGCGUGCCUAAUACAUGCAAGUAGAACGCUGAAGGAGGAGCUUGCUUCUCCGGAUGAGUUGCGAACGGGUGAGUAACGCGUAGGUAACCUGCCUGGUAGCGGGGGAUAACUAUUGGAAACGAUAGCUAAUACCGCAUAAGAGUAGAUGUUGCAUGACAUUUGCUUAAAAGGUGCAAUUGCAUCACUACCAGAUGGACCUGCGUUGUAUUAGCUAGUUGGUGGGGUAACGGCUUACCAAGGCGACGAUACAUAGCCGACCUGAGAGGGUGAUCGGCCACACUGGGACUGAGACACGGCCCAGACUCCUACGGGAGGCAGCAGUAGGGAAUCUUCGGCAAUGGACGGAAGUCUGACCGAGCAACGCCGCGUGAGUGAAGAAGGUUUUCGGAUCGUAAAGCUCUGUUGUAAGAGAAGAACGAGUGUGAGAGUGGAAAGUUCACACUGUGACGGUAUCUUACCAGAAAGGGACGGCUAACUACGUG